AAUGAACGCUAGCGGUAGGCCUAACACAUGCAAGUUGAACGCAUACUUUUACAGUAUAAGUAGCAUACGGGUGAGUCACGCGUGAGAUAUCUACCUUACAAUCUGGGAUAAAAUCCCGGAUUCUUUCUAAACUAGAUGUUCCGACAAAUAGUAUAGAAUAAAAGAUUAAAUGUCGUUGUAAGAUGUGCUCGCGUAGGAUUAGGUAGUUGGUGAGGUAAAAGCUACACCAAGCCGAAGAUCCUUAGCUGGUCUGAGAGGAUGAUCAGCCACACUGGGACUGAGACACGGCCCAGACGCUUUCGAGCGGGAGCAGUGAGGAAUUUUGGACAAUGGGCGAAAGCCUGAACGAGCCAUGUCGCAUGAGUGAAGAAGGCUCAAAUGGUUGUAAAGCUCUGAUUUGAUUGAAGAUUAUGACAUAAGCUCAAAAAAUAGUCCCGGCUAACUUCGUG
rnacentral:rRNA from 1 species